rnacentral:lncRNA from 1 species
AUGCCUCCAAACUGGCCGAGCAGCCAACUCCAGUCAGGACGCCGGCCCGCUUUUACCUCCUUCCUUCCCAUCGUUUUUGUUAUUAAACACUUAUGGAGACUCCCCCCAAAAAGGGAAUUUUUUAGAAUUACCAGAGCCAGUGGGCCUGUAAGUUUUCAGGAAAAAAAGUAUUGCUAUGAAGAGCAUCUACCAAAUUCAAUGCUUGAGACUGAACUCAGUGGCCUAUGGAUAUCUGAGGGGACCAGGACCUUGGAUUGAAGACAGAACACUGAACAAACCACUGAUCUUCAAUACUUUCUGAAGACAUAACUCUGGUGGGUGUGAUUUAAAUUUGGGUUAGGACAUGUUUCUUUGUUUUACUUGCUGUUCGGUAUGGCUGGAGUGUCAGAGGAGCUUGCUGACUAGCAGUCACUGCAGAAGCCCUGGAGAUCAGAUAUGGAAUUUGAGGACAUCUUUUUUUCUUUACUUAGCCCCCACCCCCCCCCACCCUUCUUUAAAGUUGCACUUUUCAGCUUUGUGGCUUGGUGAGAUCCCCACCCUCCUUGUCAGACUCCAAACUCUGAAUCCUAACCCCCCUCUUCCUGCUUAUUUGUAGCAUGUCUCACCCUCCCCAUCCUUUCCCUUUCCCAGUUUCACCAAACCCCUCCCAGCCCUCUCCGCCCUCCCCCAAAUCUGCAUGGCUGUGAGGAUGGGACAUGACAAGGAUUAACCCUACUUGCUGUCUCCGUCUCCUUGCUGCUUUGUGAGAUUGGGAGGGAAUCA